CUGACAGGAAGAUACCACCAUUGGAGAUUCAAGCCCAAGAAGGGAGUGCUCCAGUGCUUCCGGUCACCAUUUAAGUCACGGUGGUGACAAAAGACACUACACCUCUACUCCUGGACAUGGACAUUCCAGCCCGAGAAGGUAGCGCUCCAGCACUUCCAGUCACAAAUCAAGCCAUAGAAGUGACAGAAGACACUACACCUCUACUCCUGGACAUGGACUUCCAUGAAACCAGUAAAUGCUGAUGGUGAUUGACUGUAACACAACAACAUUACUCAAUGUUCUUUUUAACGAAGCCGUCAAAAAGUGGGACAGCAAGUCCACGGACCACAUAAUAGGCAAAGCCGUGGGAGACCACCUGAAACAUGCCCCUGGGCGAUCUGGC